UCAUCUUUUAUUGAGGUCCACCACACAUGUAGACUCUAGAAUUAGGAUGUCAUUGUGACAAAUCUUACUGAAGAGCUUGAAGCAAAAACUGGAAUGCAGCCUGAAUUCUGAGUGUGUUUUUAAAGAGACUCGUCUCAGUAUCUACAGAGGCCUCAGAAGGUCGAGUGAGCUCCACCCCUUCCCGCUCGCUCCCAAAAUCUAUGUGCCGUUCAAUAUUUGAUGGCCUUCCUGAGUGAUUUUGUUUGUAACUGCACAUGGAUGGAGUAAUUUCAAAUUUAAGCCUAGAACAAACUGUCCCAGUACAUUAUGUUUUUUAAGUAUGUCGCAGCACUAAAAGACAUUUGAAGUCAGAAGAGCACGAGGCAAGCAGAUGGGUAAAAUCUCUAUGCUGAGUAAACACAGAAACCUUGAGGAGCAGGUGAAUGUGAGUCAAUAACAGUUUAAUUAAAAAAAGCUACUGAAGGGAUAAAAAACUCUAUUGAUUGUUCUGUCAAGUUCUUAUUGACUCUAAAUUCUCAUGACAGGGAUUCCAAAAAGAAAAAGCAUGAGGUCAGUAAAUACUUACCUCAAAUCUGACAAGAUAAAGGAAACAACAAAACAUCUGGUUCUUCUAAAUAUCCUGACAAACCUGGAGCUGAGGAGAACUCUGCAGCCUAAUCACCUUGGUUUAUGACUGCUUUUGAGACUUCAUCCAGUCAGCUAACAGACCAUCAUCUUGGAUUAAAGAAAAAUGUUCUACCGGCUCAGCUGUGCUGUAGAGCAGCAUCAAGCCUGUUCUGGAUAGUUAUUUAAAAGGGGAUACAUCAGUCUCGACAUACACUAUAUAGGGUCUCCACUGGUGUUUCGGAGGUUUGAUGGAUUCAGUUUGGAUUUGCAAGAGGUAAACUUGGCUCUAGGACACUUGGUGCUGCUCCUUGUUGGCACGAUUGCGAGCUAAACGAAUGAUGACACAUGCCAGGCUUGCUCAGUCUGAACAUACAAAAUUAUUUAAUAUUUUGCUGUUCAUUCCUUAAAGCUAGAAAUUUUCUUUCUGUUGCAC